rnacentral:rRNA from 1 species
AACGAACGCUGGCGGCAGGCUUAACACAUGCAAGUCGAACGAACCCUUCGGGGUUAGUGGCGGACGGGUGAGUAACACGUGGGAACGUGCCUUUAGGUUCGGAAUAACUCAGGGAAACUUGUGCUAAUACCGAAGGUGCCCUUCGGGGGAAAGAUUUAUCGCCUUUAGAGCGGCCCGCGUCUGAUUAGCUAGUUGGUGGUGUAAUGGCUCACCAAGGCUACUAUCAGUAGCCGGUCUGAGAGGUUGACCAGCCACAUUGGGACUGAGACACGGCCCAAACUCCUACGGGAGGCAGCAGUGGGGAAUCUUGCGCAAUGGGCGAAAGCCUGACGCAGCCAUGCCGCGUGGAUGAUGAAGGUCUUAGGAUUGUAAAAUCCUUUCACCGGUGAAGAUAAUGACUGUAGCCGGAGAAGAAGCCCCGGCUAACUUCGUGCCAGCCGCCGCUGUAACAC